GAACCACCACACCUCUAUCCGCCAGAGAAUUACAAGCAAACUCAAAACUCAAAGGACUUGACGGUGUCCCAAACCAACCUAGAGGAGCCUGUCCUAUAAUCGAUAAUCCACGCUACACCUCACCCCCUCUCGAAACCAGUCUGUAUACCGCCGUCUUUCAGUUCGCCUUAUGACAGACCCAUAGCGAACACAACAGCCCAUCACUCAAACGUCAGGUCAAGGUGCAACUAAUGAGGGGGCAGCGAUGGGCUACAUU
rnacentral:rRNA from 1 species